AUUUCUUUUAAUUCUGAUAUCAAGUGUAAAUUCUUCAGCCUUGCUGUCAAGGCUCUUCUUAAUCUGAGCCUACAUAACCUGUUUCCAGACUGUCUGGCCAGCUCUGCUGAGCAGCGUGUAUCCUGCUUGUGUCAUUUCUGCAUGAGCCAGGGUUCAUUGCAUUUCCAGCCUUAGCAUAGGCUCUGCUAACUUCCUCUCAGUGAGAAAGGACCUCUGGACUCUUCACUCACUCUAAUUUAAUUCAUCCACCGAAGCUCAGCCUAAAUCACAUUUCCUCCAUGUAUCCUUAGAUGGCUCUGCUCCUUCCUUCAUUUCUUCUGGAUUCUUAGUAAAUACUGUUCACUGUAUUCCAGAGAAGAUUCAAUGGAGGUAAGAAACUUCAAAGAGAAAUGUUUAUUCCAGAGGCCUUAUAAAUUAUUUCUACUUCGUAAACUGCUGAUCAGCUGAAUAAAUUAUCUGUCCUCGCCUUCUAUUAAGUAUGGAAUCUGUGCACCAUUCAUUGUUGUUUGGCUGUUUGUCCUGCCUAAAUCAAUAGCCCAUCUAGUUACUGGCUUACAAGCAUAGAUAAAAAUUAUCAUUGUUUUAACAGAAGACACUGUCUUAACACCAAGGAGAAGAUCCACAAUUGGACAAUGCCCAGAGACCCCUUAGCAUUCUAAUUGUAUCCUCA
rnacentral:lncRNA from 1 species